rnacentral:rRNA from 1 species
UACGUAGGGUGCAAGCGUUGUCCGGAAUUAUUGGGCGUAAAGAGCUUGUAGGCGGUUUGUCGAGUCUGCUGUGAAAUUUCGGGGCUCAACCCCGAACUUGCAGUGGGUACGGGCAGACUAGAGUGUGGUAGGGGAGACUGGAAUUCCUGGUGUAGCGGUGAAAUGCGCAGAUAUCAGGAGGAACACCGGUGGCGAAGGCGGGUCUCUGGGCAGCAACUGACGCUGAGGAGCGAAAGCGUGGGGAGCGAACAGG